UUGGAGGGCAAGUCUGGUGCCAGCAGCCGCGGUAAUUCCAGCUCCAAUAGCGUAUAUUAAAGUUGUUGCAGUUAAAAAGCUCGUAGUUGAAUUUCGGGAUCAAUGUUUCGGUCAUGCCGUUGGUAUGUACUGAUAUUAUUGGUUUCUCACCUUCUAAAGAACCGUAAUGCCAUUAAUUUGGUGUCACGGGGAAUUAGGACUGUUACCUUGAAAAAAUUAGAGUGUUUAAAGCAGGCUCGCGCUUGAAUACAUUAGCAUGGAAUAAUGAAAUAGGACGUUUGAUCCUAUUUUGUUGGUUUCUAGGAUCGAUGUAAUGAUUAAUAGGGAUAGUUGGGGGCAUUAGUAUUCAAUUGUCAGAGGUGAAAUUCUUGGAUUUAUUGAAGACUAACUACUGCGAAAGCAUUUGCCAAGGAUGUUUUCAUUAAUCAAGAACGAAAGUUAGGGGAUCGAAGACGAUCAGAUACCGUCGUAGUCUUAACCAUAAACUAUGCCGACUAGGGAUCGGAUGAUGUUAAUUUUUUAAUGACUCAUUCGGCGCCUUACGGGAAAC
rnacentral:rRNA from 1 species